UAAUAUAGUGGUGAGUAUUUCCACCUGUCACGUGGAAGGCCCGGGUUCGAUUCCCAG
rnacentral:tRNA from 1 species